rnacentral:piRNA from 3 species
GAGGCCAGAAUUCAGUUUGAAUCUAAGGAG